CCUACGGAGGACAGCAGUGGGGAAUCUUGCACAAUGGGGGAAACCCUGAUGCAGCGACGCCGCGUGAGUGAAGAAGUAUUUCGGUAUGUACAGCUCUAUCAGCAGGGAAGAAAAUGACGGUACCUGAUUAAGAAGCCCCGGCUAACUACGUGCCAGCAGCCGCGGUAAUACGUAGGGGGCAAGCGUUAUCCGGAUUUACGGGGUGUAAAGGGAGCGUAGACGGCAGAGCAAGUCCGAAGUGAAAACCCAAAGCUCAACUAUGGGAAUGCUUUAGAAAUUGCGGAGCUAGAGUGCAGGAGAGGCAAGUGGAAUGCUUAGUGUAGCGGUGAAAUGCGUAGAUAUUAGGAGGAACACCAGUGGCGAAGGCGGCUUGCUGGACUGUAACUGACACUGAGGCUCGAAAGCGUGGGGAGCAAACAGGAUUAGAUACCCGAGUAGUC
rnacentral:rRNA from 1 species